CACGUGUGCAACCAACCCCGUACCGGGAGAUAACCCGCGGAAACGUGGACUAACACCCCAUAACACCUUUCCCCCGCAUGGGGGAGAGUUUAAAAUCACGAUGGUACGGGACGGGCACGCGCGACAUUAGGUAGUUGGCGGGGUAACGGCCCACCAAGCCGACGAUGUCUAGGGGUUCUGAGAGGAAGGUCCCCCACACUGGAACUGAGACACGGUCCAGACUCCUACGGGAGGCAGCAGUGAGGAAUAUUGGUCAAUGGGCGAGAGCCUGAACCAGCCAAGUCGCGUGAGGGAAGAAUGGUCUAUGGCCUGUAAACCUCUUUUGUCAAGGAAGAAUAAGCGGCACGAGUGCCACCUUGCCAGUACUUGACGAAUAAGCAUCGGCUAACUCCGUGCCAGCAGCCGCGGUAAUACGGGGGAUGCGAGCGUUAUCCGGAUUUAUUGGGUUUAAAGGGCGCGUAGGCGGGACGUCAAGUCAGCGGUAAAAGACUGCAGCUAAACUGUAGCACGCCGUUGAAACUGUCGACCUGGAGACGAGACGAGGGAGGCGGAACAAGUGAAGUAGCGGUGAAAUGCAUAGAUAUCACUUGGAACCCCGAUAGCGAAGGCAGCUUCCCAGGCUCGAUCUGACGCUGAUGCGCGAGAGCGUGGGUAGCGAACAGGAUUAGAUACCCUGGUAGUCCACGCCGUAAACGAUGCUCACUGGAUCUUGGCGAUACACGGCCAGGGUUCAAGCGAAAGUAUUAAGUGAGCCACCUGGGGAGUACGUCGGCAACGAUGAAACUCAAAGGAAUUGACGGGGGCCCGCACAAGCGGAGGAACAUGUGGUUUAAUUCGAUGAUACGCGAGGAACCUUACCCGGGUUUAAAUGCAGGUUGCAUGAGGUGGAAACACCUCUUUCCCUCGGGACUACCUGCAAGGUGCUGCAUGGUUGUCGUCAGCUCGUGCCGUGAGGUGUCGGGUUAAGUCCCAUAACGAGCGCAACCCCUAUCGCCAGUUGCCAUCGGUUCAAGCCGGGCACUCUGUCGAGACUGCCACCGUAAGGUGCGAGGAAGGCGGGGAUGACGUCAAAUCAGCACGGCCCUUACACCCGGGGCGACACACGUGUUACAAUGGCCGGUACAGAGGGCAGCCACGGGGCGACCCGGGGCGAAUCUCUAAAGCCGGUCGUAGUUCGGACUGGAGUCUGCAACCCGACUCCACGAAGUUGGAUUCGCUAGUAAUCGCGCAUCAGC
rnacentral:rRNA from 1 species